rnacentral:tRNA from 1 species
GUUGAGAUGGCUGAGUUUGUCUAAGGCGAUAGAUUAAGGUUCUGGUUUGAACGGGCUUAGGUUCAAAUCCCACUCUCAACA